rnacentral:rRNA from 1 species
AGUGAACGCUGGCGGUAGGCCUAACACAUGCAAGUCGAACGGCAGCACAGUAUGAGCUUUCUCUUACUGGUGGCGAGUGGCGGACGGGUGAGGAAUACAUCGGAAUCUACUUUUUCUUGGGUGAUAACGUAGGGAAACUUACGCUAAUACCUCAUACUACCUACGGGUGAAAGCAGAGGAUCUUCGGACCUUGCGCGAUUGAAUGAGCCGAUGUCGGAUUAGCUAGUUGGCGGGGUAAAGGCCCACCAAGGCGACGAUCCGUAGCUGGUCUGAGAGGAUGAUCAGCCACACUGGAACUGAGACACGGUCCAGACUCCUACGGGAGGCAGCAGUGGGGAAUAUUGGACAAUGGGCGAAAGCCUGAUGCAGCAAUACCGCGUGGGUGAAGAAGGCCUUCGGGUUGUAAAGCCCUUUUGUUGGGAAAGAAAAGAAGCAGGUGAAUACCCCGAUGUUCUGACGGUACCUAAAGAAUAAGCACCGGCUAACUUCGUG